UCACUUGGCAGAAGACAAGCUGAGGUGG
rnacentral:piRNA from 1 species